UACAGAGGUCCCAAGCGUUGUUCGGAUUCACUGGGCGUAAAGGGUGCGUAGGCGGUCGGGUAAGUUUGAUGUGAAAUCUCUGGGCUUAACCCAGAAAUGGCAUUGAAUACUAUUCGGCUAGAGAGUCGGAGGGGGGACUGGAAUACUUGGUGUAGCAGUGAAAUGCGUAGAUAUCAAGUGGAACGCCAGUGGCGAAGGCGAGUCCCUGGACGAUUUCUGACGCUGAGGCACGAAAGCUAGGGGAGCAAACAGG
rnacentral:rRNA from 1 species